rnacentral:rRNA from 1 species
AAUGGGCGAAAGCCUGACGCAGCAACGCCGCGUGAGCGAUGAAGGCCCUUGGGUUGUAAAGCUCUGUUGGAAGGAAAGAUGGUUUAAAGUUAAUACUCUUAGACUUGACGGUACCUUCAAAGAAAGCACCGGCUAACUCUGUGCCAGCAGCCGCGGUAAUACAGAGGGUGCAAGCGUUGUUCGGAAUCAUUGGGCGUAAAGCGCGCGUAGGCGGCCAAAUAAGUCUGAUGUGAAAGCCCAGGGCUCAACCCUGGAAGUGCAUCGGAAACUGUUUGGCUCGAGUCCCGGAGGGGGUGGUGGAAUUCCUGGUGUAGAGGUGAAAUUCGUAGAUAUCAGGAGGAACACCGGUGGCGAAGGCGACCACCUGGACGGUGACUGACGCUGAGGUGCGAAAGCAUGGGUAGCAAACAGGAUU